rnacentral:rRNA from 1 species
AUGAACGCUAGCGGCGUGCCUAAUACAUGCAAGUCGAGCGAACAGACGAGGAGCUUGCUCCUCUGACGUUAGCGGCGGACGGGUGAGUAACCCGUGGAUAACCUACCUAUAAGACUGGGAUAACUUCGGGAAACCGGAGCUAAUACCGGAUAAUAUAUUUAACCGCAUGGUUCAAUAGUUAAAGACGGUUUUGCUGUCACUUAUAGAUGGAUCCGCGCCGCAUUAGCUAGUUGGUAAGGUAACGGCUUACCAAGGCAACGAUGUGUAGCCGACCUGAGAGGGGGAUCGGCCACACUGGAACUGAGACACGGUCCAGACUCCUACGGGAGGCAGCAGUAGGGAAUAGUCCGCAAUGGGCGAAAGCCUGACGGAGCAACGCCGCGUGAGUGAUGAAGGUCUUCGGAUCGUAAAACUCUGUUAUUAGGGAAGAACAAAUGUGUAAGUAACUAUGCACGUCUUGACGGUACCUAAUCAGAAAGCCACGGCUAACUACGUG